UACGUAGGGUGCGAGCGUUGUCCGGAAUUAUUGGGCGUAAAGGGCUCGUAGGCGGUUUGUCGCGUCGGGAGUGAAAACACACGGCUUAACUGUGUGCUUGCUUCCGAUGCGGGCAGACUAGAGGUAUGCAGGGGAGAACGGAAUUCCUGGUGUAGCGGUGAAAUGCGCAGAUAUCAGGAGGAACACCGGUGGCGAAGGCGGUUCUCUGGGCAUUACCUGACGCUGAGGAGCGAAAGUGUGGGGAGCGAACAGG
rnacentral:rRNA from 1 species